ACGAGAACCACCAGGAAAACUCCCUGCAAAUCCUGCACCGACUGCGCUAACGGAGAGAAGUUGAACGAAGAUAACAAAACAGAGGAGGUUGCAGCUUAUGGGAUGGCAAUGUAAGCUCUGCACAUGUGUGGCUUCAGCGAAAGGGUCACUUCUCAAGCACUAUCGAUUGAAGCACGGUACCUUUGGAAUCUGGGAGAAGAUGCGAGUGCCUUGAUCAAGGACUUUGAGGAUGCUGCUGAUGCACCUGUCAGUGUACAAGAGGAGUUGGCAGAGGAGGUGAUGAAGAUGUACCUGCUGCAGAACCAAGAUGGGUCAGUCGAUGAACCUACUGAUGUAGGGAUUGUGAUUGAGGGCAUCCCUGUCCUCAGAAGUCUUAGGGAUCUUAGCAGAGCCUGCUGCUAUCUGUUGGGACUAACCUAUGCCUUGGAUCUGAGAUACCCCAAGAAUCUCAAAUAUAGUUUUGAGGUAUUCCAAAAACUACUGUUGGAGCUGGAUCCUGGCAACCUUUCAACCAAGGUUCAGAGACUGAAAAAUUGCCUGCAUAUGUAGUUGCCGACUACUGUUCAGCAAGAUGCUAAAAGGUACGAGUUGAGAGUUCCAUUGAUUGAAUUGCAUUUUGGACUGGUAUUGUUGUAAAGUGUCACUGUUCUUGGUGCAUUUCAGUCAUAUGCAGAGUUCAGUUCAGCCCGUUGCUCCCAUAGCUCAAUGGAAAUGUUCACAUGCUCAUUGGC